rnacentral:rRNA from 1 species
GAUGAACGCUGGCGGCGUGCUUAACGCAUGCAAGUCGAACGGAAAGGCCAGUGCUUGCACUGGUACUCGAGUGGCGAACGGGUGAGUAACACGUGGGUGAUCUGCCCUGCACUUCGGGAUAAGCCUGGGAAACUGGGUCUAAUACCGGAUAGGACAAUGGUUUGGAUGCCGUUGUGGAAAGUUUUUUCGGUGUGGGAUGAGCUCGCGGCCUAUCAGCUUGUUGGUGGGGUAAUGGCCUACCAAGGCGUCGACGGGUAGCCGGCCUGAGAGGGUGUACGGCCACAUUGGGACUGAGAUACGGCCCAGACUCCUACGGGAGGCAGCAGUGGGGAAUAUUGCACAAUGGGCGCAAGCCUGAUGCAGCGACGCCGCGUGGGGGAUGACGGCCUUCGGGUUGUAAACUCCUUUCGCUAGGGACGAAGCGUAUUUGUGACGGUACCUGGAGAAGAAGCACCGGCUAACUACGUG